AACGAACGUUAGCGGCGCGCCUAACACAUGCAAGUCGCACGAGAAAGGGCUUCGGCCCCGGUAAAGUGGCGCACGGGUGAGUAACACGUGGGUAACCUGCCCUCGAGCGGGGGAUAACAUUCCGAAAGGAGUGCUAAUACCGCAUAAGACCACAACCUCGAAAGAGGAUGGGGUAAAAGCUGGUCUCUAUACAUAAGCUAGCACUUGAGGAUGGGCCCGCGCCGCAUCAGGUAGUUGGGGAGGUAACGGCUCACCAAGCCUAAGACGCGUAGCUGGUCUGAGAGGAUGAUCAGCCACACUGGAACUGAGACACGGUCCAGACUCCUACGGGAGGCAGCAGUGGGGAAUCUUGCGCAAUGGGCGAAAGCCUGACGCAGCGACGCCGCGUGAGUGAUGAAGGCCUUCGGGUUGUAAAGCUCUGUGGGGAGAGACGAAUAAGUGCCGCCUAAUACGUUGCAUGAUGACGGUAUCUCCUUAGCAAGCACCGGCUAACUCUGUGCCAGCAGCCGCGGUAAAAC
rnacentral:rRNA from 1 species